rnacentral:rRNA from 1 species
GACAGAGGUGGCAAGCGUUGUUCGGAUUUACUGGGCGUAAAGCGUGCGUAGGUGGUGAGUUAAGUCUGUCGUGAAAGCCCCGGGCUCAACCUGGGAAUGGCGAUGGAUACUGGCUCGCUAGAGUGCGGUAGAGGAGAGUGGAAUUCCCGGUGUAGCAGUGAAAUGCGUAGAGAUCGGGAGGAACAUCAGUUGCGAAGGCGGCUCUCUGGACCAGCACUGACACUGAGGCACGAAAGCGUGGGGAGCAAACAGG